rnacentral:rRNA from 1 species
GCACAAGCGGUGGAUGAUGUGGUUUAAUUCGAUGCAACGCGAAAAACCUUACCCACCUUUGACAUGUACGGAAUCCUUUAGAGAUAGAGGAGUGCUCGAAAGAGAGCCGUAACACAGGUGCUGCAUGGCUGUCGUCAGCUCGUGUCGUGAGAUGUUGGGUUAAGUCCCGCAACGAGCGCAACCCUUGCCAUUAGUUGCUACGAAAGGGCACUCUAAUGGGACUGCCGGUGACAAACCGGAGGAAGGUGGGGAUGACGUCAAGUCCUCAUGGCCCUUAUAGGUGGGGCUACACACGUCAUACAAUGGCUGGUACAAAGGGUUGCCAACCCGCGAGGGGGAGCUAAUCCCAUAAAGCCAGUCGUAGUCCGGAUCGCAGUCUGCAACUCGACUGCGUGAAGUCGGAAUCGCUAGUAAUCGUGGAUCAGAAUGUCACGGUGAAUACGUUCCCGGGUCUU